rnacentral:rRNA from 1 species
CCUACGGGGGGCUGCAGUGGGGAAUAUUGGACAAUGGGGGCAACCCUGAUCCAGCCAUGCCGCGUGUGUGAAGAAGGCCCUCGGGUUGUAAAGCACUUUCAGUGAGGAAGAACGCCUGGUGGUUAAUACCCAUCAGGAAAGACAUCACUCACAGAAGAAGCACCGGCUAACUCCGUGCCAGCAGCCGCGGUAAUACGGAGGGUGCGAGCGUUAAUCGGAAUUACUGGGCGUAAAGCGCGCGUAGGUGGCUUGAUAAGCCGGUUGUGAAAGCCCCGGGCUCAACCUGGGAACGGCAUCCGGAACUGUCAAGGUAGAGUGCAGGAGAGGAAGGUAGAAUUCCCGGUGUAGCGGUGAAAUGCGUAGAGAUCGGGAGGAAUACCAGUGGCGAAGGCGGCCUUCUGGACUGACACUGACACUGAGGUGCGAAAGCGUGGGUAGCAAACAGGAUUAGAUACCCGAGUAGUC